UGAGCUUAAGAAGGUGUCACACAAUGGAAUUUAAAGAUGAUGCACAGAGGACAUCAACAGUGAUAUAGACCGGUCUAUAAAAUUUUGCCAAGCCUAGCAGUUUCCACAGUUCACUGUCAGCCCGAUGUGAUGUUACAACUGUUUGUGAGAUGCCAGAUGAAAAGUAUCAGAAUGGAGGAACUCAUAGUUUCAUUUCCAUUGUCACCUUUGGAUUCUUCAGCUAUAGAGAGUAAACCUGAAGUACUUAUUCAGUAUCAGAGCCACUUUUGUGACAAGAUUUUAAAUAUACACUGUUUAAUACGUGAUUUUGUUUCUAUUUGUAGGGCCUUCUAUCCACCACAGCUUAUGUUUAUAUGUACGUCUAUUUUUAAUGAAAUACUCUACGAUUUGCCAACCUCAGCCUGAAAUUCUGCUGUUUUUUUUUUUUUUU